UACAGAGGGGGCAAGCGUUAUUCGGAAUUAUUGGGCGUAAAGGGCGCGUAGGCGGCUUUGCAAGUGACGGGUGAAAUCCCUCGGCUUAACCGAGGAACUGCCUGUCAAACUGCAUGGCUUGAGACCGGGAGAGGUGAGUGGAAUUCCCAGUGUAGCGGUGAAAUGCGUAGAUAUGCGGAGGAACACCGGUGGCGAAGGCGGGUCUCUGGGCAUUUCCUGACGCUGAGGCGCGAAAGCGUGGGGAGCAAACGGG
rnacentral:rRNA from 1 species